GUCCUAAGGUAGCGAAAUUCCUUGUCGGGCAAGUUCCGACCUGCACGAAUGGCAUAAUGAUGGCCACACUGUCUCCUCCUGAGACUCAGUGAAGUUGAAAUGUUUGUGAUGAUGCAAUCUCCCCGCGGCUAGACGGAAAGACCCCAUGAACCUUUACUGCAGCUUUGCAUUGGACUUUGAACCGAUCUGUGUAGGAUAGGUGGGAGGCAGUGAAGCUAGGACGCCAGUCUUAGCGGAGCCAACCUUGAAAUACCACCCUGAUUUGUUUGAGGUUCUAACCUAGGAGCGUAAUCCGCUUCGGGGACCGUGCAUGGUAGGCAGUUUGACUGGGGCGGUCUCCUCCUAAAGGGUAACGGAGGAGUGCGAAGGUACGCUAGGUACGGUCGGAAAUCGUGCUGAUAGUGCAAUGGCAAAAGCGUGCUUGACUGCGAGACCGACAAGUCGAGCAGAUACGAAAGUAGGUCAUAGUGAUCCGGUGGCUCUGCAUGGAAGGGCCAUCGCUCAACGGAUAAAAGGUACUCUGGGGAUAACAGGCUGAUACCGCCCAAGAGUUCAUAUCGACGGCGGUGUUUGGCACCUCGAUGUCGGCUCAUCUCAUCCUGGGGCUGUAGCCGGUCCCAAGGGUAUGGCUGUUCGCCAUUUAAAGAGGUACGUGAGCUGGGUUUAAAACGUCGUGAGACAGUUUUGUCCCUAUCUGCCGUGGGCGUUGGAAGAUUGACGGGGGCUGCUCCUAGUACGAGAGGACCGGAGUGGACUCACCUCUGGUGUACCGGUUGUCACGCCAGUGGCAUCGCCGGGUAGCUAUGUGGGGAAAGGAUAACCGCUGAAAGCAUCUAAGCGGGAAACCUGCCUGAAGAUAAGUCUUCCUGGAGGCUUUGACCUCCCUGAAGAGUCGUUCGAGACCAGGACGUUGAUAGGUUGGAUGUGCAAGCGCUGUGAGGCGUUGAGCUGACCAAUACUAAUUGCUCGUGAAGCUUGAUCCU
rnacentral:rRNA from 1 species